GCCGAGCCAGGUAGCGUUGGCUUGUAACCCAAGCGGGGGCACGUGAGGUUUGGGAUGGUUAAAGGAACCACAGAUGGGUUGGUUGCGAUCGUGUAGAAGCCUGGCCUGCCCGUUCCAAGUCAGGUAGCUGAGCCAUGCGGCUUGGGCGAAGGCCCGUUCCAAGUCAGGUACGCCCCAUGGCUCUUAGAGCAGAGGGCACCGCGUCAGGCUGGCUUCACAGAGCAGCGAUGACCACCUCGCUCUUGACGGUGGGAGGAUAACAAGUCGGCGCACAUCGCAUCCACCACGCCCACCUCGCUCCUUAGACCAAACCACCACCUUU
rnacentral:SRP_RNA from 1 species